CAAUAGCGUAUAUUAAAGUUGUUGCAGUUAAAAAGCUCGUAGUUGGAUUUGUGGCGUACGACGGGCUCCGGGCACUUGUUGUCUGAGUAGCUUGUCGUUGCCAUCCUUGGGUGGAACCUGUGUGGCAUUAGGUUGUCGUGCAGGGGAUGCCCAUCUUUUACUGUGAAAAAAUUAGAGUGUUCAAAGCAGGCUUAUGCCGUUGAAUAUAUUAGCAUGGAAUAAUAAGAUAGGACUUUGUCGCUAUUUUGUUGGUUUGCGCGAUAAGGUAAUGAUUAAUAGGGACAGUUUGGGGUAUUCGUAUUCCAUUGUCAGAGGUGAAAUUCUUGGAUUUUUGGAAGACGAACUACUGCGAAAGCAUUUACCAAGGAUGUUUUCAUUAA
rnacentral:rRNA from 1 species